AAUCAACGCUGGCGGCGUGCCUAACACAUGCAAGUCGAACGAGAAAGGGGGACUUCGGGUCCCUGAGUAAAGUGGCGCACGGGUGAGUAACACGUGACUUAUCUACCCUCGAGUGGGGAAUAACUUCGGGAAACCGAGGCUAAUACCGCAUAAUACCCACGGGUCAAAGGAGCAAUUCGCUUGAGGAGGAGGUCGCGGCCGAUUAGUUAGUUGGCGGGGUAAUGGCCCACCAAGACAGUGAUCGGUAUCCGGCCUGAGAGGGCGCACGGACACACUGGAACUGAAACACGGUCCAGACUCCUACGGGAGGCAGCAGUGGGGAAUUUUGCGCAAUGGGGGAAACCCUGACGCAGCAACGCCGCGUGGAGGAUGAAGUCUCUUGGGACGUAAACUCCUUUCGAUCGGGACGAUUAUGACGGUACCGGAAGAAGAAGCCCCGGCUAACUUCGUG
rnacentral:rRNA from 1 species